rnacentral:lncRNA from 1 species
CAACUGAGAGAGUUGCAUCUACGGAAGCUGUGAAGGUCGUGGGCAAGUCUUCCUGCCGGGGGGAGUCUGUUGCCGUGACAACCAGAGAGGACAUCUGCAGAAGCCCCAAGGAGGGGGGUAGUGAGGAGAUUGUUGCCCUGGCGACCCAGGAAUGUAAACAACAAGACUUUCUCACUAUAAUAAUAGACUCUGGUGCCUCAAAUUCAUUAGUGCCAUCUGCUGAUCUUUUGAGGAAUUGCAGGACAGUAAAAACUGAGAAGUAUGUUACGUUUGCAGGUGGAAGCAGAAAAAAGCUGACAGAAACAGGACUGUUCUUCUGUCCUUUCCUUAAGCAUGAAGUCAAAGCUUAUGCAGUGCCCGGUUUAACUAACUGUUUGUUAAGUGUGCAUGAUCUAUUGAUCGAUGAUUUUCAAAUUUCUUUUGCAGGUGACAAAUGUGAAUUUUCCAAGGAUGGGAAACACGUGUACACAGUGCAGUCUAAAGAUAAUUUGUUUGCUGUAAAUGUGCCUUUUUCCACAGGAGAGGAUGACACCGAAGAUGCGAAGGGCCAAUGUGUGAAUGUAGCGCCCCACAAUGGUUGUUCACAUAUUUGGCACCGGCGCUUCGCUCAUUUAAAUUAGAGAUUUCUCCAGAAAGCACCAGAGCUGACACAAGGGUGCAAAUUUAAUGUUUGUGACAAAUUUCUAGAUUGCAAUGCAUGUAAACAGGCGAAAGUUGUGACAUGCUCAUAUCCAAAGUCAGAGAGGCAGACCACAGAACCCUUUGAAUUAAUUCAUGCAGAUUUGUGUGGACCCAUGUCUGUUGAGUCACUGGGAGGUUCGAAGUAUUCUUUGCUUUUGAUUGAUGAUUUUUCGAGGUCUGCUUGGACCUUCUCUCUGAAAACGAAAGGGGAGGCGGCUAAAAUGAUCAGGGAUUGGAUCACCGCAGUUGAGGUAACCUUUUCCACCAAAGUUCGUGGUUUUCAAAGUGACAGAGGUGCUGAAUUCACUGGUUCUGCUUUACAGGAUUUCUUUAGGGAGAAGGGGAUUAGCCACAGACUGACCGCUCCUUACUCUCCGCAACAGAAUGGGGUGGCAGAGAGAAAGAACAGGACGGUGCAGGAAGCUGUGUCUGCGAUCCUGUGGGACGCAGGGCUACCCCAGAAAUUUUGGUCGGAGGCCUGGAGAUAUGUGGUCCAUACCGAGAACAGAGUGUACAACUCUAGUGUAGGAAAUACACCGUAUUUCUUACUUCAUGGAAAGAAGCCUAACGUACACUACCUUCGUGUGUUUGGUUGUGAGGCUUGGGUGCUUAUUCCAAAGGCUCUACGCAAGAAAGGUGAGCCAAGAUCUAAAAGAAUGAUCUUUGUAGGGUAUGAGCCUGGCUCAAAGGCCUGGAGGUUUGCGUACCCAAGUGGAGACCAGUCUAGGUUGGUUAUCAGCAAUAGCGCUGAGUUCUGUGAGCAAGCCGGUUGGAAACGUCUGCACGCCAAUCCAGACGUGCUUCCACAGCAGUUCUAUGACUCAGAUGUUGAAGAGGAGGAGGAACUUGGAGCUGGGGACCACGGUCCAGAGGGACAGAGUCCAAGGCAGGGACAGCUCAGGAUCCCUCAGAGGGGGGAACCUAGAACACCUCCUCAGGCAAGUGUCAAGUUUGAGCCAAAGAGUGAGCCUUCUUCACCUGCUGGACCAGCUGUAAGGCCCAAGAGGCGCAGCAGGUCAGAGGGGGAAGACACUGAAGUUGAGGAUGAUUUAGCUGGACCCAGUGAAGCAGCAGGGUCACCAGGAGUCACACUGAGGAGAUCAGCGAGGACAAGGAGGCCUCCUGAUCGGUACGGCGCUUCAGGCGUCUGGGUAGGUUCUGCAAGAUGUGAACCUGAAUCCUUCGAGGAUAUUCAGAGUUUACCUGAGGAAGAAGCAGGCAAGUGGCACAGGGCAAUGGACAAAGAGAUGAAGUCCAUGAAAGAUCUAGGUGUGUUCUCACUCACAGAGUUGCCACCGGGAAGCAGGCUGUGAGUUCCAGAUGGGUUUACCGCUUGAAACCCACUGACGCUGGAGAGCCGCAGUAUAAAGCCAGGUUAGUUGCUCGAGGAUUUACUCAGAGGAAGGGAAUACACUUCACGGAGGUGUAUUCGCCAACGUCACGAGCGGAGACUCUGAGAACGCUUUUAGCUUGUGCAGCACAGAGAGGCUGGAAGGUAAACCACUUUGAUGUGGAUGUUGCCUACCUUAACUCAGAUCUCCAGGAGGAGCUGUACAUGAUUCCUCCUCCGGGGUUUGAGAACUCAAGGCAGGAUGUUGUGUGGAGAUUGCACAAAUCCAUCUAUGGAUUACGUCAAUCUGCUAGAAACUGGAACAUGUGCCUGAAUGAAGCUUUGGAGAAGCUAGGUUUCAGGAAGAGUCUUGCUGACAGUUGCCUGUUCCUUAGAGGAUCAGGAGACUCACAGGAGCUGGUGAUGAUUUGGGUUGAUGACGUGCUUUUCGUCUCAGAAACAGAUGAACAGGCGGAGAAGUUUGCCAAAGAGCUAGGUAAACGAUUCAAGCUUAAACAGCUUGGUGCUGUCAAAACCUAUCUAGGUGUCAAUGUUGAGCGUGCACAGGAUGGAAGUUUUUGCUCAGCCAGAGAGGUAAAAUUGAGCAACUGCUUCAGAAAAUGAGGAUGAGUGAUUGUGCAGGAGUGAGAAGUCCUAUGGAGACUAGUUUUGUGAAGGACAGCCAGCAAGCAGAACGCGCUGCGUUCGAAAAUACUGAAGUGUUUCAGUCAGCUCUAGGGAGUUUGUUGUACUUGUCCCAGUGGAGCAGACCUGAUAUAGCGUUUGCUGUCAAUCUGCUCAGCAGGGAGGCAUCAAACCCUAGUGUGCAAGCCUGGAAUGGCAUCAAGAGAGUUCUGAGGUAUUUGCAGGAGACCAAAGACUUUUGUCUUAGGUUGCCAGCACAAGGAGAAGUGAAACUGACUUGCUUUGUGGACUCGGAUUGGGCUAAUCUUGAGGAUCGCAAGUCUGUGUCUGGCCUAGUGGUGAAGUUUGGGAACUCAGUAGUUGGAUGGAGGUCCAAGAAGCAAAGUCUUAUAGCGCUCUCAUCCACUGAGGCUGAGUUUAGUGCUCUUUCAGAGAUGUGCAGAGAAGUAGAGUUCUAUGCUUGUUUGGUGCAGGAACUCUGCGAAGUGGAUUGUCUGCCGAUACGUGUUUUCGAGGACAAUCAACCAUGCCUGCGUUUGGCAGAGUCAGGUCAGUUCAAGGCCAGAACGAAACACCUAGACAUUCGCUUUCGGAAUGUGUGCCAGAGUGUUCAGGAGGGAUUAGUUGCGCUGAAGUAUUGUCCCUCUGCCAAGAACCUAGCUGAUGGGUUCACGAAGCCACUCACCUUCCAAAGACAUGGGGAGUUUUGUGAAGGUCUGGGUUUGGGACGACCAAGGGUCGAUUCUCCCCUCAGGCGCGAGACAAGAGGGGGUGUUGGGUGUAGUGAAGGGUUAACCUUCUGUGUCUCGAGGCUGAGAGGAGGCGCUUACAAGGGAAGUAAGCCAGGACGUGACGAAAGCAGCUUGGAAUGCUGUGAGCUGAGUGAAAAGUGAAAGCAGCUUUGCUACGCAGCUGCUGAGAGAGACAGGUCGCAAAAUGCAACUUGAAUCAGAUGGUGUCUAAGAACUGUAAAUAUGCUACUUUUGAGCAAAUAAAGUGCUAC